CCCUUACGGAAACUAAGGGGGUGGCUUCCAUCUGGAAGAAUCUGGAGACAGGUGCUGCAUGGCUGUCGUCAGCUCGUGUCGUGAGAUGUUGGGUUAAGUCCCGCAACGAGCGCAACCCUUGCCUUUAGUUGCCAGCAGUUCGGCUGGGCACUCUAAAGGGACUGCCGGUGUUAAACCGGAGGAAGUGGGGAUGACGUCAAGUCCUCAUGGCCUUUAUGACCAGGGCUACACACGUACUACAAUGGCCGAUACAAAGGGCAGCGACACUGCGAGGUGAAGCCAAUCCCGUAAAAUCGGUCUCAGUCCGGAUUGGAGUCUGCAACUCGACUCCAUGAAGUUGGAAUCGCUAGUAAUCGUGGAUCAGCAUGCCACGGUGAAUACGUUCCCGGGCCUU
rnacentral:rRNA from 1 species